CCGAUCCAAUACGAGUGGUGUCCUCAUAAGAAGAGAUUAAGACACAGAUAAUAUGCAGAGGGAAGGCCAUGUGAGGGUACAGGAAGGUGGCCGUCUUGCAAGCCCAGGAGAGAGACCCCAGGAGACCCCAGCCCUGGUGACUCCCUGCUCUCAGACUUCCAACUUCUAGAACUGUGAGAAAAUUAAGGUCUGUUGUUAUAGCUAUCCACCCUGUGGGACUCUUACCACAGACCUGGCAAACCGACCUACGUCUCAACCACCCUGGGACGUAUGGAUGAUUACCUACGUUUUCCAGAAGAAGACACUGAGGUUCAGAGAGGGGCAAUGACAUCUUAGGGGUUACACAGCCCCCUCAAGCAACUAUCGUUUUUGCCUGAGUGUCAAGGGAAGGUGACGAGGUCGAUAUUUAGCACAUCGUAGGAGCUCCAUAAAAGGGAGGGCCUCCCUCGUGACAGAGCGGGGACACGCACGUUGCCGCCAUGAUUCCUGCACCUCAUGAGGAGUUUAAGGUGGGGACACAGUACUCUGACCCUAAGACUCAUUUCUCCUGCCCUCUGAAGAUCCAGGCCAAGAGAACCGCAUAUGCAAGAAAGAGAGCCAGGAUCUGUGCAGCCGGGUGAAACUCUGGAGGGAGAGGUGAACUCAAUGCGUCCGGCACUCAGGUCAGGCCGGAGGCUGGGGGUUUGUGAGUCAUCGGCCCACAGUGGUAGCAGCCAGCGUUUAUGGAACACCCUUCUUUGACGUGGUGGUAACGGGCAGGCCCUUGGCAUGCACCGGCUCCUUCAAUCUGCAAAACACCCGUGAGCGUGGUAUGGUCAUUACCCCAUUUCGCAGAUGAGAAGACCAUGAUGCGGAGAAGUUUUGUGUGUUUUUUUUUAAUUUUUUAAGUGCUUAUUUAUUUAUGAAGGAGAGAGAGACAGAGCAUGAGCGGGGGAGGCGCAGAGA